rnacentral:lncRNA from 1 species
GGAGGAGCGUCUAAACGAGGAGCGAUUAGAAGCUAGACGCUUCGGCCUAUGGUUUCAAGAGCUGAUGGAGUGUGAUUCAGGGUACUCGUCAGCUGACUCGUCAGCUAUCUCGUUAUAGGCGUACCGCGAUUAGUACGAGAUAUACAAACGGGCGGGGGAAGAACACGCAAUACACAGGGGAACGAGGCUUUCGGGGAUGUGCAACCCCCGGGAGGGCGGAUCAUCAUAACGCACGAUACAGCCCGUUAUUUCAAACGUUUUUAACUACAUGGUC